rnacentral:rRNA from 1 species
GACGAACGCUGGCGGCGUGCCUAAUACAUGCAAGUCGAGCGAAUCUUGAGGUGCUUGCACCUCUUGGUUAGCGGCGGACGGGUGAGUAACACGUGGGCAACCUGCCUGUAAGACUGGGAUAACUUCGGGAAACCGGAGCUAAUACCGGAUAAUCCUUUUCCUCUCAUGAGGAAAAGCUGAAAGUCGGUUUACGCUGACACUUACAGAUGGGCCCGCGGCGCAUUAGCUAGUUGGUGAGGUAACGGCUCACCAAGGCGACGAUGCGUAGCCGACCUGAGAGGGUGAUCGGCCACACUGGGACUGAGACACGGCACAGACUCCUACGGGAGGCAGCAGUAGGGAAUCUUCCGCAAUGGACGAAAGUCUGACGGAGCAACGCCGCGUGAGCGAUGAAGGCCUUCGGGUCGUAAAGCUCUGUUGUUAGGGAAGAACAAGUAUCGGAGUAACUGCCGGUACCUUGACGGUACCUAACCAGAAAGCCACGGCUAACUACGUGCCAGCCGCCGCAGUAACAC